ACCAGUUGCAGGAACCCAAAACAUGGUGGGUAUGUUUUUAUCAUGAUUCAUAUAAUACGAUGACGGAUUGAUUUUUAGGCUAAUAAUUAGGCUAACACACUUACCUCUCAUCUUUUGUUUCCUCACAAAACCGAUAGAUCCUCCACUCCUCCCAGCACAAUUCUUAGCAUAUUUUGGUUCCUGCAACUGGUCCGUCAGGUUAUUGUCUCCCCAGAAACACUUCCCUUGUGCUUUUGGAAAUCUGUUUUUUCCUAUUUCUGUUGUGUUUUGUGUGCUUUUGCAGCAUUUUUCUUAUUGCUGGUGUUUUCUUAAGUUGCAGUCUGUUUGGCCUCUCAGGGCCACCGUAUGAAACAGUGUGAUCAUCGAACAUUUUAGUGCAAAGAAUAACAAACCCACUGGACUCACAAUACCUCCAUGCUUAUUUACUGUCCAUCUCGUUCAGACAGUCACUUAGACAAACUAGCCUGUUCACAUUUUCAGGGCAGCUCUCUUUUUUGUUACUAUGUGACCUGUAAGUGAGAACAGUCUCUCACAUGGGACAGAAGUGGCAGGACUAAUCAAAUACUUACAGGCCAGGCCAGACAGCUGAGGGUGGUCCCUGUUCGACUGGACCACCACUGCAGUGGGCAGUCUGUCUCACUGAUGGUGGAUUCUGCUCUGUACAAACUCAGGGCCCCGUUACACAGAGCUUGAGUCUGAAGACAAUGAAGAGAGGAGGAGGAUCUUUCUUUGGUGGCUCCUUUGUGGUGGCAUCUUUACACUGUUCCUGCAGCAGGGCCUCAAGGCUGGUUCUUACCUCUUCUUGCUCUCCUCUUACAAACAACUUUAAAUCCUUAAAGCGUGGGUCCAGAGUCGGGUUUAUAAGACAGUGGCGAUGGAAGACGUGCCUCAGCCUGUGGUGAGUGUGAGGCCGCUGGUGUGUAGCUCAGCCUCAAAGAGCUGCACACUGAGCUGUGACGGAGACGUCAGCGCUGCUGGGCCUGUCGAGUAUUUCUGGAAGAUCCGAGAUGGAGAAGAUCAGGAACAAACAUGGAGAUCAUCAGUGAUGAGGAAACACAGCGUGUUACGAAUUUCACCUGCAGGAUGAAGAACCCAGUGAGAGAGACAGCAAACCUCUCCCUAACCCACUCUUCCAUAUCCCUUCCUUUCCAUCUUCAUCAUCACCGACGACGGUCAGUGAUGAUACAGAGAGUGAAGCUCCCGUGAUUUUAGGCGUUGUGAUUGGCUCUCUGGCGACCGUGGUGGCGUUUUGUCUGUAGUGAUGAAACACUUUGAAGUUGAGUGUGACCUUUCAUUUCCUGAUCACGUUUAAAGCCUGUCUGCUCUCCUGAAGUUUGUUAAGCUCUUCUGUUUAUUUACACACUAAUAAUCAUCAUGGUCGGCCAUGUUUGUAGUUUUUGUUCGGUUCUCUUUUCUUCUUUUAGAAACUUCUUAUCAUCUCAGUUUACAUUUAUCUUUGCUGUUUCACUUCCUCCUCAUUUCUAUAAUUUGUUUUUUCUGCACCUUUGAUGAUGUUUUUCACUUCCUGGCUUUAUAAGUUUCCCCCGUUGUGUCGGUCACAUCCUCAGUUAUUUUGACUUGCUCAGUUUUUUGGUUUUAUACCUCUGACUUUCUCCUCUGUUCGUCGUUUUUUUCCUCUCUGUCCCUGUUUAUAUUUUCUUUGAACAGCCUUGUGGAUUCUGUAAUUUCCAUGAUUUUCUUUUAUUCUGUAUUAAAAACUCGCCUUUGCUCGCUG